UGAACAAGGCCGACCGUGCCUUGAGUGGUGGAAGCUGCACUUGUCGGUACGGGGCCUCGGGAAACUGCAAACACUGUGCAGCAGUUGUGAUAUACAUCAACGAAAGUGAGGACGUGUCCACAACAUCAUAACCACAGCAGUGGGGGCGGCCACCAAAGACGUCAUUUAUUAAUGACAAGGCAUCUAUUGAAGAGGUGUUUGGCGGCAUAAAGAUGGAAGCACUUGCCCGGAAGGAGUUUCAAGGUAAAGUUUCUGUACAGGUUAUAGAGACUGGAUUGGUGCUGCACUCUCUCCAGCCGUGGCUUGCUGGCAGCCCAGAUGGCCUCUUCCUAUCCAACCAGAAGCCCUGUAUUCUUGAGAUAAAGUGCCCAUAUUCAAGAAAAGACGACAUCAUCAUAGAUGACCGAUUGGAACACUCAUUUGUGCCAUACGUAAAAUAUGUAAAUGGUAGACUGACCCUCCUGUAGAGUCAUAAGUAUUACACACAAGUGCAGCUGCUAAUGUAUGUGUGCAACGUUCAGAGCUGCUAUUUUUUAUUUAUUCAUGUAAGCAAAGCAUAAUAAUAGAUAUUGAAAGAGACAACAGUUUCCUGUGUGCAUCAGUGUGAGCACUAGAGGAAUUUUAUUUUGCUUGGCUACUGCCAGCAUUUGCUAGAUGGCGGCGAGUGUAGUUUUUUGCAAUGUGUAUAAAUUUUUAACGUGUUAAAUUUGAGGUAUUG
rnacentral:lncRNA from 1 species